UGGGGAAUAUUGCACAAUGGGCGCAAGCCUGAUGCAGCCAUGCCGCGUGUAUGAAGAAGGCCUUCGGGUUGUAAAGUACUUUCAGCGGGGAGGCGUUACCCGCAGAAGAAGCACCGGCUAACUCCGUGCCAGCAGCCGCGGUAAUACGGAGGGUGCAAGCGUUAAUCGGAAUUACUGGGCGUAAAGCGCACGCAGGCGGUCUGUCAAGUCGGAUGUGAAAUCCCCGGGCUCAACCUGGGAACUGCAUUCGAAACUGGCAGGCUAGAGUCUUGUAGAGGGGGGUAGAAUUCCAGGUGUAGCGGUGAAAUGCGUAGAGAUCUGGAGGAAUACCGGUGGCGAAGGCGGCCCCCUGGACAAAGACUGACGCUC
rnacentral:rRNA from 1 species